AGUACCUGGAGGGGGAAGGUAUCCAUGGAACAGAACACUGCCACAGGACGAACGCUCUAUAUACAGUACCUGGAGGGGGAAGGUAUCCAUGGAACAGAACACUGCCACAGGACGAACGCUCUAUAUACAGUACCUGGAGGGGGAAGGUAUCCAUGGAACAGAACACUGCCACAGGACGAACGCUCUAUAUACAGUACCUGGAGGGGGAAGGUAUCCAUGGAACAGAACACUGCCAAAGCACGAACGCUCUAUAUACAGUACCUGGAGGGGGAAGGUAUCCAUGGAACAGAACACUGCCACAGGACGAACGCUCUAUAUACAGUACCUGGAGGGGGAAGGUAUCCAUGGAACAGAACACUGCCACAGGACGAACGCUCUAUAUACAGUACCUGGAGGGGGAAGGUAUCCAUGGAACAGAACACUGCCACAGGACGAACGCUCUAUAUACAGUACCUGGAGGGGGAAGGUAUCCAUGGAACAGAACACUGCCACAGGACGAACGCUCUAUAUACAGUACCUGGAGGGGGAAGGUAUCCAUGGAACAGAACACUGCCACAGGACGAGCGUUCUAUCUCCUCACACAGCAGCAACCUCCUCACUGAAGACAGCCACCG